CAGCAGCCGCGGUAAUACGAAGGGGGCGAGCGUUGUUCGGAUUUACUGGGCGUAAAGGGCGCGCAGGCGGCUCGUUUUGGCAGGCGUGAAAGCCCCGGGCUUAACCUGGGAGGUGCGUUUGAUACGGAUGGGCUAGAGUUCGGGAGAGGAGAGUGGAAUUCCCAGUGUAGAGGUGAAAUUCGUAGAUAUUGGGAAGAACACCGGUGGCGAAGGCGGCUCUCUGGACCGAGACUGACGCUGAGGCGCGAAAGCGUGGGGAGCAAACA
rnacentral:rRNA from 1 species